UACGUAGGGGGCAAGCGUUAUCCGGAUUUACUGGGUGUAAAGGGAGCGCAGGCGGAAGGCCAAGUCUGAUGUGAAAACCCGGAGCUCAACUGCGGGAUUGCAUUGGAAACUGGUCAUCUUGAGUCUCGGAGGGGCAAGCGGAAUUCCUAGUGUAGCGGUGAAAUGCGUAGAUAUUAGGAGGAACACCGGUGGCGAAGGCGGCUUGCUGGACGAUGACUGACGCUGAGGCUCGAAAGCGUGGGGAG
rnacentral:rRNA from 1 species